UGUCAGGUAUUUGAUGUGGUGGAGACCAGCUACAGAGGAGAUGGAUUAAGAUACCUUAUAGACUUCCUGGUUCCUACUAAACACAUCCUGCAGACCAUCCAGCAACAUGCCUGUUUCCCGUACUGUGGCCUGUUAUUCCGUCACCAGGGCUGGCCUCUGUGUCUCCACGACAAGGUGAUCAUCCAGCUCUCUCCUCUGGACCCACGCAUCCUCCGACCCGGGGACUUCUACCUGCAGGUGGCAUCACCCUCUGUCUCCCCCAGCCCCUCCUCCACCCCCAG